CUGUUCAUUUCCGCAGCACACGUACCAAAAUUGGAACGAUACAGAGAUUAGCAUGGCCCCUGUGCAGGAAUGACAUGCAAAUUUGUGAAGCUUUCCAUAUUUUU
rnacentral:snRNA from 1 species